AAGGCCUGACGUUUUAACUGUAUGUGUUGGGCUUGCAGCUAGGUGAGAACACACCUUCUAUAGCUUUUGGAAAAUUGCUGUAAAUUAUGUUCACAUUUAUUAUAAAAAAUAUAAUGAUCUAUUUCUUGAAUAAAUCAAUGAAAACGAAUAAGCUUUAACAAGCAGAGAGUUUCUAUUAUAUUACUUGGUGAUUAGAUAUUUUGAGUUUAUGUUCAGAUUUAGUUAUAUGGAAGCAUAUUGCCUAUUUUCAACUUAAAAGUAAUAAUUUUUGUUUUAACUUUCUUGUCUACAUUAUGAUAUUAUUUGAAAUCUCAUUUUAGUCUUAUCUGCAACAGUGAGUGAAGUUCAGAUUUAGUGACAUUUCUUUGGCAAGAAUUUUAGAAAGUUUUGAGUGCUCUAAACACUUUUACUCUAUAUGCUUAUGUGCUGAUAAGUUUGAGUUGUCUCAUGCAUGAGAUACUGCAGCCAUCGAUCAAGAAACUUGCCCAAUGAUCAUCGUUUACAAAAUGUAUGUAUUAUGAUUUCAUUUUGCAGUAAUUAACAUUCUUUUUGGAUAGGUAUCAAGAAGAGAUCAUGAAUUUGCCCCUUGCUGGGAUUGAGGCAAUCUUGUGUAGUGAUGACCUUCAGGUGACAUCAGAGGAUGUUGUUUAUGACUUGGUGCUGAAGUGGUCCCGAUUCCAUUAUCAAAAGAUGGAGGUGCGUCUGUACAUCCUAUGUUCACAAUUGGGUGGCUAUAUCCGUUACCCGUACAUGACGUGGCUAAUAUGUAAUGUUGGAUGAAAUUUGUUUGAAUGUAAUAUUGGAUUAAUAAUGUUUGAAUGAAUGUAUGGAUUUUUAGUAUUAAUAUAUGUAUUUUUAGUUUUCUAUUA
rnacentral:lncRNA from 1 species